UCAUAAGUUCAUGGUUCGACACCAUGGAUCUCCAGGUGGGUCAAGAUUAUAGAGAUACACCAACCUGGAGGACUCCAUGCUGUUGAGCUGUUCUCAA
rnacentral:pre_miRNA from 1 species